rnacentral:rRNA from 1 species
UACGUAGGGUGCGAGCGUUGUCCGGAAUUAUUGGGCGUAAAGAGCUCGUAGGCGGUUUGUUGCGUCGGCCGUGAAAACCUGCAGCUUAACUGUGGGCCUGCGGUCGAUACGGGCAGACUUGAGUUCGGUAGGGGAGACUGGAAUUCCUGGUGUAGCGGUGAAAUGCGCAGAUAUCAGGAGGAACACCGGUGGCGAAGGCGGAUCUCUGGGCCGUAACUGACGCUGAGGAGCGAAAGCAUGGGGAGCGAACAGG